rnacentral:lncRNA from 1 species
AUUUGAUUGCUGGAGAUGUAGAGGCUCUUGUGAGGCUGGUCGUCACACAGGAAACUGUAUGCAGAGUCCAUCAGCCCAUGCUCUUCAUCACGAACUCAGUUGCUCUUUAAGACCAUCUCCCAGAGAUGAGGAAGAUGCGUUGAUCCAAACGAGACGCAGCCAAGCUUGGAGCAUCCUCUCUGCUCCAUCCCAAGGUUAUUUUUCAACACCCACAAGCAAAUGGGGACAGCGACUGCAAAUUUCAACACGCGGCCGUUGCUAUUUAAUUAAAAUCACUGAGGCUGGCUGAAGACUUUUCAGCAGAGUGAUUUCACAUCAGAGAACACCGGUUCUCAAAAUCUGAACAUUCUUUUCAUAGAAAUCCAUCCCUCCAUUUCAACCAGGAAUGAGAUUUCAGUUCUAGGAAAGGACUUCUCAUCCCAGCUAGGAACGGCAAACCAUCACUCCCCUUUUGCGGCGGGGCUGCCCAACCGUGGCAGCCAGAGCAUCUCUUUCCACCCCUCUCUGUAUUUCCAGCUGUAAUCGUUCCAUGUCUGUCUGCAUUAACUAUUUGCACAGCUCAGGACAGGAGCUCUUGUCCGAGGAGUGGGGAAUCACCAAGGCUGUGAUUCUCUCUGUUUCAUUAAAGGUAACGCCUGCAGGGUGGUUGAACCUUCCUCUCGUUCCUUGCGACCGGGGAAUGGAAACAAUAUCUCACACUAUUUGUGCAGUGAUUCCUGGCUUGUUAAUAUUCUGGUGUGGCUGUUUUUCUCUGCUGUGAGGAACUUUGCCCACUUAGCAUGGGGUUUUGCCUCUGUCUAAGUGGGAAUGCUGCUUUUCCUUUUCCCUUCUUCCAUUUGGAAAGCUGUUUUCCUGCCAUUGCUAGUCCUUUCUGUGUAAUAUUACCGCAGAGAGAAUGAAAAGUAACUGCUUUCCUUCCCAUCCAAUCGUACCUACGUAGUCUUAAGUAUAUUAUAUGCUUCGCUUCCUGCUUCACCCACUAGUAAAAUAUGUUGAUAGAUGAAUAUGGGGGUAAGAUUGCUUUAAUUAGAACCUAUUGCCCUGCACACUAUCUUCUCUAAAGACUACCUGUAUUAACAUCUGGGGAAAAUAAGUCUUAAAGAAAAUUUCCUAGGACAGAUUUUUGGACUUCACCCCCCACCUUCUGCUUCCCAACCCUUUCAAUUUCUCAAGUAUAUUUAAAAAUGCAUGACUCACCCUGUUGCUUCCUUAUAUUUUAUGGUGAGGUGGUGAGGGGGAGUCUCUUCAUUUUCAUUCCUGGGAUUACCUUUAAUGAAGUGGAAAACAUCUACGGGAUGGGAUAAUACCUGAUGCUUACAGUUUUCUUUACAUCACAUUACAGUAUUUUCUCAGGUAUUAAAGUAGCACUGGACUCAACUAAGAGGAGUGAUCAAACUGUCUACUAAUGAAGUUACUCUGACAGGAACUCCAGGAACCGGAAACUGAACUUCAGAAUCAUGAAGAGCACUGCUAGAUGAAGACAUGGGCUGGAUACAUGUCUACCACACUAGAAGAAACUGAAAGAAUACGAUCCCAUUUGACUCCAAAAGUCUUUCUAGGCUAAUUACCAGCUCACAGAGCAGAGAAAUUAAGGCAGAGAGGGAAUGUUCAUGAUGACAACCUUUACCCAUUAGCAAGCUUUGCAUUUUCCCAAGGCUGAAGACAGUUUAGCCCUGACAAAUCCAAUCAGUGAUAUGCAGGCGUAACCUCCAGAAAUAAGCUCACAUUUUUGGGAUCCACGGGGCAAAAGAUGGACUGCAGUAAGUCACUAUGAAAAUAUUUAAAAUACAGCUUGGCCAGUGCUGAAAUGGCACAGUUGGCCUGAAGUCGCUUCAAGGUCUCCUGGCAUCUGCGUGUUUCCCCAGUGGCUUUGUGCAGUAAAGUGUUAACUUCUCCUGAGUGGUUACGUGUUUAAGGCAGUAACUUUAAAAUAAAGAACUGCAACCUUAGAGCAAAGCUGCUAUUUUGAGAAUUUUAAACCAUUAUUGACUCCUGUCAGAUCAGUUUCUAGACUUAUUGACUCAAGAAGUAAAUAUAGACUGAGAGAAAGCGAGGUCAAGUCAAUAUUUAUCUUGCAGAUCAAUACAUUUUGAUACUAACCAAAAAUUAAGCUCAAUAAAUGCAUAUAUUAUACACAGCAAGGUUAGAAGAGAUCCAUUCAGAAAAUUUGUCAAUUUGAAAUUUCCCAACGGAAUCCAACCUUUUGGAUUCAAUUUCCAUUAGAAAUUCUGUCCCUUUAAGGUUGCUUCAGUGACUGAUCACGAGCCCCCAUCACCCAAUCAGGUUUCCAGAUGAACGUUGAGUAGCAGCGAAAGGAAAAGGGAAGAAUGAUGAAGUGAGAAGAAGUUGGUCACAGGAGCUCGAUUACGGUGUUAGGAGGAGGUAGGUGAGUAAUGGCAGUGUGCAGAAGUGCCAAAAGCAGCAGGAUGGGGACCAAAGCAAAUGUGUAACGUGAUAUAAGUAAUGCAAUAUUGCAAUGCAAACAUGAAGAAAGGAUGGAAGAAUGUGCAGGUGAACUUGUGGGAAGACUGGGUACUAGCUAAUAAAAAGAGGGGUCAGCAAUUAUAACAUUGCAACAAAUGGGAUGCAGUGGGAAAGAUUAUUUUGGAUGUUGGUUUGCAGCUGUUCCCAAAACAUCCUGGGAGCAUAUAAUAUCAGCAUUCUUGUAGCUAGAAGUUAGCUUGCUGUUUUCAUGUGUCACCAUACUGCUUGUUUUGAUGGGCACCUAUCAUGUCUAAAAACUGCCCCAACCAUGGCUUAGCCACCAAGAGCUAGCUGCUCUUCUAGAGCUUGGCAGCACUAUGGAUGGGCUCAGGCCUCUGCUAAGGGCAUCACCUGGCACCCUCGGGAUGUUGCAGCUCGGCUACAAGGGAUUAGGCCAGUUUUGAAUGUGUAAUGGCAGGACAGAGCAUAAGUGAGGACAGAGAAGGGGAUGUUCUCCACAGGAGAACUGAAAAGCUGGGAACAUCCAUCACUGCAUGAUGAGGGCUGCCGGUGGUGAGCACUUGUCUUCCAUGUGUCCCCUUGUCCCCAUACCUGCAAGCCGCAUCUGCCCUGUGCUGCAGGACCCCAAGGACAGAUUAGGGUGGCAGAGGAGCAGGCUCUGCAGUACCCAGCCUCCUGUCCUGGGCCAGCUGCAGCCUGUCCAUGCUCCAGCCUGUGAUGCUGUCCCUCUUUUGAGGACACUUUCCUGAACAUCUUUUAAGCUAUGAAUCUACCCUUUGGGGAA